UAUCUGCAUUUUUCUGAGAUGGCAUCAAGAGGCUGCAAGCAUCCGGCAGAGGCAUUUUGCUAUGUCUGCAGCCAAUUUAUCAAGACAAGAACGAAAAAGUGCCCUGUGGAAGCAUCUGCUAAGAUGUGUGAAGCCUACAAGGCAUAUUUCAGCAUGCCUGUUGGGGAUCAAGACAAACCCUGGGCACCUCAUUUCACCUGCGAGCAACGCAAAAAACUCUGGAAGGAUGGUAUAGAGUGGAAAAGAGAGCCAUGAAGUUCGCUACCCCAAGAAUUUGGCAGGAACCCAUUGACCACUCAACCAACUGCUACUUCUGCAUGAUGGACCCUUCCAAACGUCGGACUGGCAAGAAUGCACCUGCUAUCACGUAUCCGGACCUUCCUUCAUCCCAUGCCCCAGUGCCACACUGCCAUGAGCUCCCCGUAUCCACUCCUCCGGAGAGAGAGCAGCCGUCUUUAGAAGAGAUCAGCAUGUCAGAGAGCGAGGAAGACAUUGCAGAUCCAGAUGGCAAUUUCAGAGGUGGAGCAGAGGAGAGAAACCCUAUACUACCCCAACCAAAAAGACCUCAACUACUUGAUCAGAGAUCUUGGUCUCACCAAGUACAAUGCCGAGCUUUUGACAUCUAGGCUCAAGCAGUGGAACUUGUUGGAUGAAAGUGUGCAAGUCGCCAUUCAGAGGAAGCGUCACCAACCUUUUUGCAGCUUCUUCACCCGUCAAGAUGGGCUCUGCUUCUGCCACAAUGUGACCAGUCUGUUCGAAGCAAUCGGAAUCGCCGAAAAACAGAAUGAGUGGCGCCUCUUCAUUGACAGCUCAUCCAGGAGCCUCAAAGCCGUGCUGCAACAUCAUGGAAACAAGUACCCGUCUCUUCCCCUGGCUCACUCUGUGCACCUCAAAGAGGAUUACAACAGCAACAAGAUCUUGCUGGACGCCUUGAAGUAUGAUGAGUACAGCUGGGAGGUCAUCGAAAACUUCUAAAUGGUGGCAUUGCUGAUGGGUCUGCGUGGCGGUUUUACCAAGUUUCCCUGCCAUCUUUGCCUUAUGUUGUUUUUUCUGACGUUACGUGAACGAAAAUACACAAAUUCGCCCGUCUUCUCAUUGAAAAUAGGUAAAUUUCAAAAUAUCACUGUCCUGAUCACAAAAGCGAAGUUUUUGGGGAUUAAAAGCCAUUUCGAUACUUUUUAGGCAUAAAAAAUUACGAAAUAACACUUACUACCCAGGAACAAAAAUUGUGUUACAUAGCGUUAUCAGAGCAUGCUUGUUUGCACGUUUCGCCACAUGUACGCGUGGUUAAUGCACACUUGACACCUUGCCAAAGGUGUUUGAACAACUUAAAACUUUCUCUUUGGUUCUUUCGGUAAAGUCACGUAGAAAGAAAAUAAAUGAAAUAAUAGAAUACGCCGUUUCGAUUGCAACACAAGUAAUCGUCAUCAUGUUAGAACUAAAUUUGAGAGAGAGACAAAACACAGACACGGAGACACACAGACAGAUACACAAGCAGAGAGAGAUAACACAGAGAUACACAACAUAGACACACAGAGACCCAAUGCCUCUGUGUCGAGGCCUUGAAUAGAGAGAGGGGGGGGGGAUCAGAGAGGGUCAGAGAAAUCUAUUAUUUAUAAAUUAAAUAAUAGCUUUCCACACAGAACCAAAGAGUAAUUCCUGCAGUCACGAAAGCUUCGAAUCAAAUCUUGACACUUGUUAUAUGGCCGGAAAGGGUAAAACCUAUUCUCAAACAGCCAGCAGGACUGACACGGCGUGCGGGAGGGCUGCAUCCAGCAGUGAAAAUUAAUGUUGGAAACGGCAGUCACAUUUGCAAAUGUGAUUUGUAACUUUGAUCAUUACCUGGUUAUCGAUAGUUUAAUCUUAAUGAGCCGUUUUAUUAAGGGACUACUGCUGCGUGGCGUUAUCUCAGGUGUGGUCUGGGAUUGUGUUGCUGUUAUUGUUUUGCUGCCUUGCCCAAGCUUGAUAAAUCGGACUUAUAUACAGGGACUCUUCUUCUUACGAACAUUAGACUUACGAACUUUCAGAGAUAUGAACAAACCUGUCCGGAUGUCCAGUUGCCUGUUCGGAUCGAGAGUCCGUAAGUUGAAUCGCCGCGUAAUAGAUGGCGGUGGUGGCAUCUACAUCUGCAGAACAUGAACAAACAGUGGCAUCUACAUCUACAGGAGAUUAAGUGUACAUGCCGUACAUCGCGUUUGGAAUCGACAGGAGUAAAGUUGGACUUCCGAACAAAUCGACUUACGAACAAACCUCUGGAACCUAACUCGUUCGUAAGUAGAGGAGUGCCUGUAAUGUAAGUGAUAUAUUUAUAUUUAGUGACUUGCUUUCCGUUUUCUCUAUUUUGCAUUCCUAUCGUGUCUUUAUAUUGUUUGCUGUUGUAACUCGCUGACUCGCCCACACUGGACGUCUGUGAAAAAAUGUCUUCAUAUCUAAAUUAAGAUUCUGAUUCUGA